AUUGAACGCUGGCGGCAGGCUUAACACAUGCAAGUCGAACGAUGAGUCUCUAGCUUGCUAGAGAUGAUUAGUGGCGGACGGGUGAGUAACAUUUAGGAAUCUACCUAGUAGUGGGGGAUAGCUCGGGGAAACUCGAAUUAAUACCGCAUACGACCUACGGGUGAAAGGGGGCGCAAGCUCUUGCUAUUAGAUGAGCCUAAAUCAGAUUAGCUAGUUGGUGGGGUAAAGGCCCACCAAGGCGACGAUCUGUAACUGGUCUGAGAGGAUGAUCAGUCACACCGGAACUGAGACACGGUCCGGACUCCUACGGGAGGCAGCAGUGGGGAAUAUUGGACAAUGGGGGCAACCCUGAUCCAGCCAUGCCGCGUGUGUGAAGAAGGCCUUUUGGUUGGAAAGCACUUUAAGCAGGGAGGAGAGGCUAAUGGUUAAUACCCAUUAGAUUAGACGUGACCUGCAGAAUAAGCACCGGCUAACUCUG
rnacentral:rRNA from 1 species